rnacentral:tmRNA from 2 species
GGGGAUGACUAUAGUCGAUAGUUCUUACCGAAUUUGUUUCCUGGCAUGUCGGGUGGGCUCCCGUAUCAGCCCAACUUCAGAAGUGCAAACUUCUUUAGCCGUGCAAAGUCUGCGAUGGCAAACGCCUUCCAGAUGCCUGCAUUGGCUCCUGUCGUAGCCUAAAUCCUACGACCAUCGCAACCGGUUGACGUCUGAUAGACCGACCCGCGGUGCAACCCUUUAUCAGACUUACGCGGACUGUUGCUUGGCAGAAAGCGGACAAUACAUGCAAGCUAGAGGUGCCGGCGCAUUUGCUCAUUUUUUGCUGGCUCCUCGAAUAAACUAAAUGAGAUACGCAUGUAGUCAGCAAUAGAUUCAAGAGCUACACGCGGGUGUGAGACCCGCCAUCUCCACAU